rnacentral:tRNA from 1 species
GGGGAUUUAGCUCAGUGGUAGAGCGCUUACCUAGGAAGCAAAAGCCCUGGGUUCGGUCCCCAGCUCA